rnacentral:rRNA from 1 species
AUACGUAGGGGACGAGCGUUGUCCGGAAUUACUGGGCGUAAAGGGCGCGCAGGCGGUAUAUCAAGUCAGCUGUCAAAGACUGGGGCUCAACCCUGGUAUGCGGUUGAAACUGAUAUGCUGGAGUGCUGUAGAGGCAAGUGGAAUUCCCAGUGUAGCGGGGAAAUGCGUAGAUAUUGGGAAGAACACCGGUGGCGAAGGCGACUUGCUGGGGAGCAACUGACGCUGAGGCGCGAAAGCCAGGGGAGCAAACGGGAUUAGAUGCCCCGGUAGUCCUGGCCGUAAACGAUGAAUGCUAGGUGUGUGUGUAGAGAUACAUGCGUGCCGGAGUUAACGCGAUAAGCAUUCCGCCUGGGGAGUACGGUCGCAAGAUUGAAACUCAAAUGAAUUGACGGGG